rnacentral:misc_RNA from 1 species
CGCACCUUGCGCUCUCGGGUCAUUCCUGGGAGCAUGUUCGUUUGAGUGUCGCGUACCCUCUCAACCCCCUUGCUUUCCGAGGCGAGCGCUUAGGGUUGGAUCAUGACGGUUCUUGUUCCCCUUACAGGGAACUCCGUUGAAUUGCAACAAGCUGCACCUGUCCGAUUAGGCGGUUUGACCCGUUGUCAUAAGUUGGUUUAACAACCUUUCAAUGGGGACGUCUUUUCAUAUGUUAGGAUGAGCUUACCAUAAACGGCCCCUUUCUCAGAAAGAGCCAUUUAUACAUUUGACCUCAAAUCGAGCAGGACUACCCCCUGAACUUAA